UUUUUGUUUUUUGGUUUGGGGUUGUUUUUUUGUUGUUGUUGUUUUGAAUAAUUUCUCCUUAAUAGGAAUAUUAGUUUGAGCAACAAAUAACAAAGCACUUCAUAAAGAAGAAAUAAGUGAUCUUCUAGGGAAUGAACGAAUUCUAAGUGAAUAAAUAGCUGAUGAGAAUUAGUACCUCAAGUAUGUAUGUCUUUAGCUGUUCUCAACCCCCACUGUUAUAAAACUGAAGUGAUCUCUGGUAUUUGCCAGGUUACCCAAAAGAAUUAAGAAAAAAGCGUGUAAAAAUCAAUGAUGGAGAAACAAAUUACUUUAAUUACUUUUUCCUUCAUCCUAUGGGCCUCAGCCCUAACGCUAACUCAAGGAUAGUAUGGUAUGGAGAUCAGUUUUCUUUGUAAAGGAGGACUGUGGGAAUGUGGAGAGAACUAGGCCUGCUGAGAAAAACUGACACCAUAAGUUGAAUUUGAGUUCUAGUGCAAAAGAUUGCAAUUUCUGUGAUAACACUUGGGUUCAUUUGCAAAUUUUGUGAAAGAAGCAAUUUGUUUAGACUAUUAUCUAACACCUGGAAAGUGAGCUCCUCAGCAGUUUAAUAGUUGUAAUAGCACUGGACCAGUUGGGAAAAUUAAGGUAAAUUCACUGAAACUUAAAACAAUUUGCUUAAGUUAAAAUGUGUUAACAGUCUUCACAUUCGUUCUUGUUUAGGAUCAAAGAGUUACUUACUCCUACAAAGAUCUUUUGAUUACUGAAUGCAAGUGUAAGGUAAUUACAUAGAGUAACCUUACACUGUAAAAUCUUCCUAUAUGUUUUCAUAUAGACAAGUUGCUAAUUAUCUUGUGAAGCAGGGUUACUCUUCCUGUAAUACACUAGUGAUUCCAAUUAAAACUGCAUUUCAAAAUUUAACCAAAUUAAAAAGCAUUUAGUAAUUAAAUUAACUGAUAAUAACUGAAAAACAGGAGACUACUGGGUUUUUUGUUGUUGUUGUUGAUGUUGUUUAUUUGUUUGUUUUUUGUGGUUCUGCCUUUCUGUGCUUUCUAUACAACAAUACCUUGUACUCCAAGUUUUCGCUUCAGUUGACAUUACUUUCAUGUUUUGGAAUACUUUCUGCUUUCAGCAACAAAAUUAAUUUCAGCACUGUCGCAUUAGCAAGCCAUUAGGGCUCUGCAGGUUUUAAGUGAUUGUGCAUGUUUACCUCCAAGAAAUUUUAGUUUUUAAAUGGGCUUAACAUUUCAUGACAUUGUCCUUCCAACAUUGCUUACAAUCCUGUCAUUUCUUAAAUACAGUUAAGUGUUCUAUAAGAUAAUGUUGUCUUCGUCACUGUAUUUCAUGAGGUUGCAGUGGACCACCACCACAUUCAGCAGGAGCCUGCUUCUCAGGAUGUACACAAGAUGUUUUAAGUAAUUUGAUUUCCAAACAAUUGAAAACAAAACAAUUUCCAGAUCCUGAUUUUGGUUGUAAACAAUUAUGCCAUGGUUUUAGUCACAAUCAGCCAGCUCUUCUAUUUGUAUGCGCUGUUCAUAUUAUUCAGUUCUUCCUUUCUCUUGUGUUUUAAAAAUUUCACAACAAAUAAUUAUUUUUGCUUAGUAGCAUUAGUACAGGUGCCUGCAAUUGUGAUUUAAGGAGCAGAUGAAAUACAAAAAACAUUUGCCAGAAAAACUGACAAUCUGAGCCUGUGAAUCCAGUCACACAGAGCAAACAGUGCCUCGCUAUGCAACAGUGACACAAUUUUUCUUGUGUCACAGAAGCCUACAUACCAUAUAGUGUUGAUUAACAUGCUGUUCAGCUGCAUCUGGAAUUGUGACUGAACGUUGAGGAAUAAUGAUAUGGAGCUCACAUAACCUCUUUGAGAAAUGUUCAGAGUCUAGCCUAGUUUGGAUCCAAGAAGAGAGACCCAAGGAAACACAAUGCAAGCAAAGUGACAAUAAGAUACCUGGU
ensembl:lncRNA